rnacentral:rRNA from 1 species
GCCUGGGGAGUACGACCGCAAGGUUGAAACUCAAAGGAAUUGACGGGGGCCCGCACAAGCGGUGGAGCAUGUGGUUUAAUUCGAAGCAACGCGAAGAACCUUACCAGGUCUUGACAUCCUUUGACCACUCUAGAGAUAGAGCUUUCCCUUCGGGGACAAAGUGACAGGUGGUGCAUGGUUGUCGUCAGCUCGUGUCGUGAGAUGUUGGGUUAAGUCCCGCAACGAGCGCAACCCUUAUUGUUAGUUGCCAUCAUUUAGUUGGGCACUCUAGCGAGACUGCCGGUGACAAACCGGAGGAAGGUGGGGAUGACGUCAAAUCAUCAUGCCCCUUAUGACCUGGGCUACACACGUGCUACAAUGGGAAGUACAACGAGUCGCUAGACCGCGAGGUCAUGCAAAUCUCUUAAAGCUUCUCUCAGUUCGGAUUGCAGGCUGCAACUCGCCUGCAUGAAGCCGGAAUCGCUAGUAAUCGCGGAUCAGCACGCCGCGGUGAAUACGUUCCCGGGCCUUGUACACACCGCCCGUCACACCACGAGAGUUUGUAACACCCGAAGUCGGUGAGGUAACCUUUUUGGAGCCAGCCGCCUAAGGUGGGAUAGAUGAUUGGGGUGAAGUCGUAACAAGGUAGCCGUAUCGGAAGGUGCGGCUGGAUCACCUCCUUUCUAAGGAA